rnacentral:tRNA from 1 species
GCGAGGAUGGCGAAAUUGGUAGACGCGCACGGUUCAGGUCCGUGUGUCCUUAGGACGUGGGGGUUCGAGUCCCUUUCCUCGCACCA